GCACUUUGAAUUUUUCCAUCCUGGAAAACCUAAAUAAUUUUUGUUGAAAAAUAGGCAAAUGGUCUGAGAUGCCUGACAUCCAGGCAUUCUUUUACACAUCAGUCCCUUCCUAGUCUCUGUGCCCAGUGCACCUCAUCCCAAAUCUUCUUUCUUUCCCUCCCGCCUGUCCCCUCAGUACCAACCCCAAGCGUGGCUGAGUCUUUCUAAUCUUCUUUUCUACAGACCCAUCUGACCUCUCCCCUCCUCCCCAGGCUGCUCCUCGCCAGGCCAAGCUAGGUCCCAAUUCUUCCUCAGCCUCUGCUACUCCACCCUAUAAUCUUUUUAUCACCUGCCCUCCUGACACCUGGUCCGGCUUACAGUUUAGUUCCGUGACUAGCCCUCCCCCACCUGCCCAGCAAUUUACUCUUAAAAAGGUGGCUGGAGCCAAAGGCAUAGUCAAAGUUAAUGCUCCUUUUUCUUUAUCCCAAAUCAGAAGCGUUUAGGCUCUUUUUCAUCAAAUAUAAAAAUCCAGCCCAGUUCAUGGCUCGUUUGGCAGCAACCCUGAGAUGCUUUACAGCCCUAGACCCUAAAAGGUCAAAAGGCCGUCUUAUUCUCAAUAUACAUUUUAUUACCCAAUCUGCUCCCGACAUUAAAUAAAACUCCAAAAAUUUGAAUCUAGCCCUCAAACCCCACAACAGGACUUAAUUAACCUCACCUUCAAGGUGUACAAUAACAGAAAAAAGUUGCAAUUCCUUGCCUCCACUGUGAGACAAACCCCAGCCACAUCUCCAGCACACAAGAACUUCCAAAUGCCUGAACUGCAGCAGCCAGGUGUUUCUCCAGAACCUCCUCCCCCAGGAGCUUGCUACACGUGCCAGAAAUAUGGCCACUGGGCCAAGGAAUGCCGCAGCCCGGGAUUCCUCCUAAGCCGCGUCCCAUCUUUGUGGGACCCCACUGAAAAUCGGACUGUUCAACUCACCUGGCAGCCACUCCCAGAGCCCCUGGAACUCUGGCCCAAGGCUCUCUGACUGACUCCCUCCCAGAUCUUCUCGGCUUAGCAGCUGAAGACUGACACUGCCCGAUCACCUUGGAAGCCCCCUAGACCAUCAUGGAUGCCGAGCUUCAGGUAACUCUCACAGUGGAAGGUAAGCCCAUCCCCUUCUUAAUCAAUAUGGAGGCUACCCACUCCACAUUACCUUCUUUUCAAGGGCCUGCUUCCCUUGCCUCCAUAACUGUUGUGGAUAUUGACGGCCAGGCUUCUAAACCUCUUAAAACUCCCCAACUCUGGUGCCAACUUAGACAAUACUCUUUUAAGCACUCCUUUUUAGUUAUCCCCACCUGCCCAGUUCCCUUAUUAGGCUGAGACACUUUAACUAAAUUAUCUGCUUCCCUGACUAUUCCUGGACUACAGCUAUAUCUCAUUGCCGCCCUUCUUCCCAAUCCAAAGCCUCCUUUGCGUCCUCCUCUUGUAUUCCCCCACCUUAACCCACAAGUAUAAGAUACCUCUACUCCCUCCUUGGCGACCGAUCAUGCACCCCUUACCAUCUCAGUAAAACCUAAUCACCCUUACCCCACUCAACGCCAAUAUCCCAUCCCGCAGCACGCUUUAAAAAGAUUAAAGCCUGUUAUCACUCGCCUGCUACAGCAUGGCCUUUUAAAGCCUAUAAACUCUCCUUACAAUUCCCCCAUUUUACCUGUCCUAAAACCAGACAAGCCUUACAAGUUAGUUCAGGAUCUGUGCCUUAUCAACCAAAUUGUUUUGCCUAUCCACCCCAUGGUGCCAAACCCAUAUACUCUCCUAUCCUCAAUACCUCCCUCUACUACCCAUUAUUCUGUUCCAGAUCUCAAACAUGCUUUCUUUACUAUUCCUUUGCACCCUUUAUCCCAGCCUCUCUUCGCUUUUGCUUGGACUGACCCUGACACCCAUCAAGCUCAGCAAAUUACCUAGGCUGUACUACCACAAAGCUUCACAGACAGCUCCCAUUACUUCAAUCAAGCCCAAAUUUCUUCCUCAUCUGUUACCUAUAUCGGCAUAAUUCUCAUAAAAACACAUGCUCUCCUUGCCAAUCGUGUCCGACUGAUCUCUCAAACCCCAGCUCCUUCUACAAAACAACAACUCCUUUCCUUAAUAGGCAUGGUUAGCGUGGUCAGAAUUCUUACACAAGAGCCAGGACCACACUCUGUAGGCUUUCUGUCCAAACAACUUGACCUUACUGUUUUAGCCUAGCCCUCAUGUCUGCGUGCAGCGGCUGCCGCUGCUUUAAUACUUUUAGAGGCCCUCAAAAUCACAAACUAUGCUCAACUCACUCUCUACAGUUCUUAUAACUUCCAAAAUCUAUUUUCUUCCUCAUACCUGAUGCAUAUACUUUCUGCUCCCCAGCUCCUUCAGCUAUACUCACUCUUUUUUGAGUCUCCCACAAUUACCGUUGUUCCUGGCCCGGACUUCAGUCCGGCCUCCCACAUUAUUCCUGAUACCACGCCUGACCCCCACGACUGUAUCUCUCUGAUCCACCUGACAUUCACCCCAUUUCCCCAAAUUUCCUUCUUUCCUGUUCCUCACCCUCAUCAGGCUUGAUUUAUUGAUGGCAGUUCCACCAGGCCUAAUCGCCACAUACCAGCAAAGGCAGGUUAUACUAUAGUACAAGCCACUAGCCCGCCUCUUAGAACCUCUCAUUUCCUUUCUAUCAUGGAAAUCUAUCCUCAAGGAAAUAACUUCUCAGUGUUCCAUCUGCUGUUCUACUACUCCUCAGGGAUUAUUCAGGCCCCCUCCCUUCCCUACACAUCAAGCUCAAGGAUUUGCCCCACCCAGGACUGGCAAAUUAGCUUUACUCAACAUGCCCUGAGUCAGAUAACUAAAAUACCUCUUAGUCUAGGUAGAUGCUUUCACUGGAUAGGUAGAGGCCUUUCCUACAGGGUCUGAGAAGGCCACCGCAGUCAUUUCUUCCAUUCUGUCAGACAUAAUUCCUCAGUUUAGCCUUCCCACCUCAAUACAGUCUGAUAACAGAUGAGCCUAUUAGUCAAAUCAGCCAAGCAGUUUUUCAGGCUCUUAGUAUUCAGUGAAACCUUUAUAUCCCUUACAGUCCUCCAUCUUCAAGAAAAGUAGAAUGGACUAAAGGUCUUUUAAAAACACACCUCACCAAGCUCAGCCACCAACUUAAAAAGGACUGGACAAUACUUUUACCACUUUCCCUUCUCAGAAUUCAGGCCUGUCCUCUGAAUGCUACAGGGUACAGCCCAUUUAAGGUCCUGUAUAGAUGCUCCUUUUUAUUAGGCCCCAGUCUCAUUCCAGACACCAGACCAACUUAGACUGUGCCCCAAAAAACUUGUCAUCCCUACUAUCUUCUGUCUAGUCAUACUCCUAUUCACUGUUCUCAACUACUCAUACAUGCCCUGCUCUUGUUUACACUGCCGGUUUACACUGUUUUUCCAAGCCAUCACAGCUGAUAUCUCCUGGUGCUAUCCCCAAACUGCCACUCUUAACUCUUGAAGUAAAUAAAUAAUCUUUGCUGGCAGGACUAUGCUGAAUCUCCUUAGGCACUCUCUAAUCAGUUAUCCUGAGUCGUCCCAACUCUUAGACCUUUUAUACCUGUUUUUCUCCUUCUGUUAUUCCAUUUAGUUUCUCAAUUCAUCCAAAACCGUAUCCAGGCCAUCACGAAUCAUUCUAUAAGACAAAUGUUUCUUCUAACAUCCCCACAAUAUCACCCCUUACCACAAGACCUCCCUUCAGCUUAAUCUCUCCCACUCUAGGUUCCCAAGCUGCCCCUAAUCCCGCUUGAAGCAGCCCUGAGAAACAUCGCCCAUUCUCUCUCCAUACCGCCCCCCAAAAAUUUUCGCCGCCCCAACACUUCAACACUAUCUUGUUUUAUUUUUCUUAUUAAUAUAAGAAGGCAGGAAUGUCAGGCCUCUGAGCCCAAGCCAAGCCAUCGCAUCCCUUGUGACUUGCACCUAUACGCCCAGAUGGCCUGAAGUAACUGAAGAAUCACAAAAGAAGUGAAUAUGCCCUGCCCCACCUUAACUGAUGACAUUCCACCACAAAAGAAGUGUAAAUGGCUGGUCCUUGCCUUAACUGAUGACAUUACCUUGUGAAAGUCCUUUUCCUGGCUCAUCCUGGCUCAAAAAGCACCCCCACUGAGCACCUUGCGACCCCCACUCCUGCCUGCCAGAGAACAAACUCCCUUUGACUGUAAUUUUCCUUUACCUACCCAAAUCCUAUAAAACGGCCCCGCCCUUAUCUCCCUUCGCUGACUCUCUUUGCGGACUCAGCCCGCCUGCACCCAGGUGAAAUAAACAGCCAUGUUGCUCACACAAAGCCUGUUUGGUGGUCUCUUCACAUGGAUGUGCAUGAAAUCUAUGUAUCUACAUUUUUUAAUGUUUUGGUAUAAUCUGUUUUUUAAAAAAUUCAUAUGUAACAGAUGUAACAUAUUUUGAGGAUACAUGUGAUAUUUUGAUACAUUCAUAUAAUGUGUAAUAAUCAAAUCGUGAUAAUUGGGAUAUCCAUCACCUUAAACAUUUUUCUUUAUGCUGGAAAUGCUUAUUCUCUAUUACCUAUUUUAAAAUUUAAUAUAGAUUACUGUUUACUAUAGUAAUUCUAUUGAUCCAUUGUACACUAGAUCUUAUUCCUUUUAUCUAACUGUAUUUUCGUAUCCAUUAAUCAACCUCUCUUUAUCCUCUUCUCUCCCUUACCUUUCCUGGCCUGUGGUAACCACCAAUAUACUCCCCAUCUUCAUGAGAUCUACUUUCCUAGCUCCUGCAUAGGAAUGAGAACUGCUAUGUAUAUAUUUUAUGUCUCCCUGGAAUUCUAAACCUCAUAAGGAAAGAAGCUGUGCUGGGAAAGACAGGAAGGAAGCACAGAGAAAAGCAAAUGAACACAAACUGUUGGAGAGGAAAAGCCACUAUUGAAGAGGCUGCCAGGAAAUAUGAGAGACUUUCCCUACCCCGAUGCUAUGAUUUUUGUCCUAGUUUGAACUGUACCCAGAAAUAAAAUUGUCC
rnacentral:lncRNA from 1 species